GCAUUUUCGAGCCAAAAGCGCGAAACGCCGACGCGGGGAAAUCACUCCACCAGGCUGAUUUCUGAUCCCGCUUCGAUGCGUCGGAUAAUGCGUAAAAACAAAGAGAUAGAGCGGUUCCCGUUUUCGGGAGACAUGCUCUAUCUUCGGCCGGCACGCCGGCGUCCUCGCACGGAAGCGGCAGCCCCCUGCUCCUCAAAGAGCGAGGCAAGUUGUUCUGUCAUUGCGCCCGCCAGUUCUUCCGCAUCGACGAUGGUGACGGCG
rnacentral:ncRNA from 1 species